rnacentral:rRNA from 1 species
AAAGGAAUAGACGGGACCCCGCACAAGCGGUGGAUCAUGUUGUUUAAUUCGAUGAUACGCGAAGAACCUUACCAGGCCUUGACAUACUCUGCAAAGCUAUAGAGAUAUAGUGGAGGUUAUCAGAUGUACAGGUGGUGCAUGGUUGUCGUCAGCUCGUGUCGUGAGAUGUUCGGUUAAGUCCGGUAACGAGCGCAACCCUUAUUGUUAGUUGCCAUCAUUAAGUUGGGGACUCUAACGAGACUGCCAGUGACAAACUGGAGGAAGGUGGGGAUGACGUCAAAUCAUCAUGCCCCUUAUGGCCUGGGCUACAAACGUGAUACAAUGGCUGGAACAAAGGGAAGCGAAAGGGUGACCUGGAGCAAAUCUCAUAAAGACAGUCUCAGUUCGGAUUGAAGUCUGCAACUCGACUUCAUGAAGCCGGAAUCGCUAGUAAUCGCAGAUCAGAACGCUGCGGUGAAUACGUUCUCGGGGUUUGUACACACCGCCCGU